AAGUCGUAACAAGGUUUCCGUAGGUGAACCUGCGGAAGGAUCAUUAAAGAGACGUUGCCUUCGGGUAUGACCUCCACCGCUUCCGUUUAUUUAUUAACCUUGCUUGCUUUGGCAGUGACCCGGCUUCGGCCCACCGGCUCCGGCUGGUCAGUGUCUGCCAAAGGACCUAAAACUCUGUUUGUUAAUAUUGUCUGAGUACUAUAUAAUAGUUAAAA
rnacentral:misc_RNA from 1 species